rnacentral:miRNA from 1 species
GAUGUAUGCGCGAGGUCUGGG